rnacentral:misc_RNA from 1 species
GAUGAAGAACGCAGCGAAAUGCGAAAAGUAAUGUGAAUUGCAGAAUUCAGUGAACCAUCGAAUCUUUGAACGCACAUUGCGCCCGCUGGAACUCCGGCGGGCACGCCUGUCCGAGCGUCAUUUCAACCCUCAGGCCCCCCUUCGCGGGCGGGCCUGGUGUUGGGGCCCGGCCGCUACCCUGCGGCCGUCCCCUAAAUCCAGUGGCGGCCUCGCCGUGAUCCCUUGCGUAGUAAUGCACCGCGCACCGGAGAGCGCCGUGGCCACGCCGUAAAACCCCCAAUUUUCAAUGGUUGACCUCGGAUCAGGUGGGAAUACCCGCUGAACUUAAGCAUAUCAAUAAGCGGAGGA